UAAUACAUGCACCGAAGUUGUUCCUCGCGGAGCAAUGCAUUUAUUUGAGCAAAACCAGGCGGCUUCGGCCGUUUCUGUUGAUUCAGAAUAACUAAGCUGAUCGCAUGGGCUUGUCCCGGCGACGUGUCUUUCAAGUGUCUGCCUUAUCAACUUUCGAUGGUAGUGUACGUGACUACCAUGGUGUUGACGGGUAACGGAGGAUAAGGGUUCGACUCCGGAGAAGGGGCCUGAGAAAUGGCCACUACGUCUAAGGAUGGCAGCAGGCGCGCAAAUUACCCACUCUCGGUUCGAGGAGGUAGUGACGAAAAAUAACAAGGCCGUUCUCUUUGAGGCCGGCCAUUGGAAUGGGUACAACUUAAACCCUUUAACGAGUAUCAAUGAGAGGGCAAGUCUGGUGCCAGCAGCCGCGGUAAUUCCAGCUCUCAAAAUGCAUAGAACCAUUGCUGCGGUUAAAAAGCUCGUAGUUGGAUCUGUGCCGGCGACGUGGUCCGCCCUAACCGGCGGUACUGCGCUCGUCGGCUUUGGGCCGGUCUUCGGUCGGUCGCCUUCACUGGCGGCCGCUCGUGGCUGGCUGGUUUACUUUGAGCAAAUCAGAGUGCUCAGCACAGGCGUCUCGCCGGAAUGUUCGUGCAUGGAAUAAUAGAAAAGGAUUUCGGUUCUCUUUUAUUGGUUUUGUGAACUGAGAUAAUGGUUAACAGAGACGGACGGGGGCAUUCGUAUUGCUGCGUGAGAGGUGAAAUUCUUGGACCGCAGCAGGACGGACUACAGCGAAAGCAUUUGCCAAGCACGUCUUCAUUAAUCAAGAAC
rnacentral:rRNA from 1 species